rnacentral:lncRNA from 1 species
ACAGUUAUUAUGCUGUCUUGCAUUAGAAGAAAAGAUGUGCUACAUGUUUGAGACUUUUUUUUUUAUCAUGGUUACUCUAAAGGAUUGAAAUGUUCUUCAAUUACCUCUGACUAUAAUUUUUUGACAUCUUCAGCCUGAAACAGUAUCUAGCAGCUUUCCACUGUGCCUGUGUGGGAAACUUCCUGAGGGCACAUUUUGGGUGAAUUAUAAACUUCUCUUGCUCUGUGUCUCAAAUAGGUGUCCCACUUUUUUUUUUUACCUUUCACAGUUGUUGAAGACAAUAAAGAUUUUAAACUUCACCUUCUUGACCUGAAUCUGAAAAUAAUGGCUUUCUCCUCCCAGUUCCAAUUCCAGCACUUAGAUGGAGUGACGGAAGAAGGAGCUCUGAGUUAGGGGAUACUCCCAACCCAGGGUCUCCCACAUUACAGGAAGAUUGUCUACCCUUGAGCCACCUGGAAAACCCCUGGAAAGGGAAGGAUAGCCCCCAAACCAGGCACAAGAUUCAACCACUCCCAGCUCAUCCUUCUGAAGACUACCGGAUCCCAGGACCCUGAUGCAAGGUCGAAGCGUUGCAAGAAACUGGUGAGACAGAGGCCCUGUCGCA